UCAGACGAUGCGUCAUGCAUAUCAAUAAGCGGAGGAAAAGAAACUAACAAGGAUUCCCCUAGUAACGGCGAGUGAAGCGGGAAGAGCUCAAAUUUGAAAUCUUAAAGGGUUUCCCUUUACGAAUUGUAGUUUAAAGAAGUGUUUUCUGUUGAGGUUUUGGUAAAAGUUCUUUGGAAUAGGACAUCAUAGAGGGUGAGAAUCCCGUAUUUGACCUUUACUUUCAACUUUGUGAUACACUUUCAAAGAGUCGGAUUGUUUGGGAAUGCAGUCCAAAAUGGGUGGUAAAUUUCAUCUAAAGCUAAAUAUUGGCGAGAGACCGAUAGCGAACAAGUACCGUGAGGGAAAGAUGAAAAGAACUUUGAAAAGAGAGUUAGACAGUACGUGAAAUUGUCAAAAGGGAAGCGUUUGACACCAGUGUUGUUCUUCUGAAAAUCAAUUAAAGAACUGUUUAUGCUAAGCUGUUUAGACUUUAUCAGCUAUCUGUUUAGUUUUGAGCUUUUCUUUAAUGCACUUUUCAGUUAACAAGUCAACAUCAAUUUCUUUUGCUGUAAAAAAGCUUGAGGAAGGUGGCUUGAGAUUCGUCUUAAGUGUUUAUAGCCUCUUGCCUAUGCAGUCGGAGAGAUUGAGGUCUGCAGCGUAGAUCCUUCGGGGCUAAAUGCAUUUGUGCUAAGUUAUAGCAUUUUAUAGACAACUUGUUGACUAUGAUUUGUCUUGUAGCUUACUCGCUUAUGUUAUUUUACCUACGCUUAGGAUGUUGAGCGCAUGUCUCUCUCU
rnacentral:rRNA from 1 species